UACGGAGGGUGCGAGCGUUGUCCGGAAUCAUUGGGCGUAAAGGGCGCGUAGGCGGCCUUCUAAGUCAGACGUGAAAUCCCCCGGCUUAACCUGGGAACUGCGUCUGAUACUGGAGGGCUUGAGUGCGGGAGAGGGAUGUGGAAUUCCAGGUGUAGCGGUGAAAUGCGUAGAUAUCUGGAGGAACACCGGUGGCGAAGGCGGCAUCCUGGACCGACACUGACGCUGAGGCGCGAAAGCUAGGGUAGCAAACGGG
rnacentral:rRNA from 1 species